ACCUCUUUUUCUGCUAGCAACUUCACCCAAGUUCCUCUCACCUUUCCAUAAGAGAUUGUGCAUGUCUGUGUGCAUCUUGUCUGCUUUAUACCCAGCUAUUCUCCCAUCGUAUCAUCUCCAGGCAUAACUUGCCUGUCUGGUUUACCACAUAAUAGGAUGGCAGGCAAUAUUGACUUGGGCUGUUCAAUCCCCCAGAGAGAAAGAGAGGCUUGGAUCAGCUUUGAGACCUAACAUUGGAUUUCCUGGUGGAUUAACAAUGUUGAUCCAAAUUAUCAGCUGAUAGAAAACACACCUCUUCAUUAGCUUCAAAACAAGCCUGGUGUCAGCUAUGGCAAAUCUCAUCCUUCCAUUAUGUCACUGGGCUAUUCUUCAGGAAGGAGAACAAUAUAUGUUGACAUGGUAAUAUCUACAAUUGUGUGAGCAUUGGCAAACUGAAUAACAAUGCAGGAAUUUUCCAAAAAAAGAGCAAUUCGCAAAAUUCAAGCUAGUAUUAAAUACGGUUAUUGAAUAUUGAAUAUUCACUCA